AGGUUCAGCAGCUACGGGUCGUCGUCGAUGACAUCAAAGAUCAGCUAGAUAGGCAGAGGGUGGAGCAGGAGAGGAGGAUGGAGGAGAAACGGGUGGAGCAUGAGCGACAGAUAAUGGAGAUGUUUCAGGUUUUCGCUGCACGCUUACCCACCGAUGCCCCACCACCUCCGCCUUCAUUUUUGUGAUUUUUUGUAUAUUUGUUUAUGAUGUUAAGUUUAUAUAUAUUUAUGCGUGAAUGAAUGUGAUGCGGAUAAGAUUGUUUGUGUUUGGAUGAAUGUAGUUUAUGUUUGGGUUUGGGUUUAGAUGGAUGUGAAUGUGAAUAUGAUGAAAUAUAUUAUAUAACAGGUGUAUAUUAGGAUGAAUAUGAUGAAAUAUAUUGUUAACAGGUG